rnacentral:rRNA from 1 species
ACGGGAGGCAGCUGUGAGGAAUAUUGGUCAAUGGGCGGAAGCCUGAACCAGCCAAGUCGCGUGAAGGAUGAAGGUAUUAUGUAUUGUAAACCUCUUUAGCCGGGGAGCAAUAAGCGCCACGUGUGGUGUGAUGAGAGUACCCGGAGAAUAAGGAUCGGCUAACUCCGUGCCAGCAGCCGCGGUAAUACGGAGGAUCCGAGCGUUAUCCGGAUUUAUUGGGUUUAAAGGGUGCGCAGGCGGUCUUUUAAGUCAGUGGUCAAAUCGUGUUGCUCAAGCCCAUCCCGCCAUUGAUACUGGGAGACUUGAUUCCGGUCGAGGCAGGCGGAAUUCGCGGUGUAGCGGUGAAAUGCAUCGAUAUCGCGAAGAACUCCGAUUGCGUAGGCAGCUUACCAGGCCGGCAAUGACGCUCAUGCACGAAAGUGCGGGGAUCGAACAGGAUUAGAUACCCUGGUA